rnacentral:rRNA from 1 species
CACGGGGGGAGCAAGCGUUGUUCGGAAUCACUGGGCGUAAAGGGCGUGUAGGCGGUCAGGUUAGUGGGACGUGAAAUGCCCCGGCUCACCCGGGGACCUGCGUCCCAAACUGCCUGGCUUGAGUAUGGGAGAGGAUGAGGGAAUUCCUGGUGUAGCGGUGAAAUGCGUAGAUAUCAAGAGGAAUACCUGAGGUGAAGACGGGUUGCUAGGCCGACACUGACGCUGAGUGCGCGAAAGCCAGGGGAGCAAACGGG